rnacentral:rRNA from 1 species
UCAAGUGAAUAAGUGCAUCAGGUGGAUGCCUUGGCGAUGAUAGGCGACGAAGGACGUGUAAGCCUGCGAAAAGCAUCGGGGAGCUGGCAAUAGAGCUUUGAUCCGGUGAUGUCCGAAUGGGGAAACCCACACAGCAAUGUGUAUCCUAAGCUGAAUACAUAAGCUUAGAGAAGCGAACCCGGAGAACUGAACCAUCUAAGUACCCGGAGGAAAAGAAAUCAACCGAGAUUCCGCAAGUAGUGGCGAGCGAACGCGGAGGAGCCUGUACGUAAUAGCUGUUGAGAUAGAAGAACAAGCUGGGAAGCUUGACCAUAGUGGGUGAUAGUCCCGUAUUCGAAAUCUCAAUAGUGGUACUAAGCGUACGAAAAGUAGGGCGGGACACGUGAAAUCCUGUCUGAAUAUGGGGGGACCAUCCUCCAAGGCUAAAUACUCAUCAUCGACCGAUAGUGAACCAGUACCGUGAGGGAAAGGCGAAAAGAACCCCGGGAGGGGAGUGAAAUAGAACCUGAAACCUGAUGCAUACAAACAGUGGGAGCACCUUGUGGUGUGACUGCGUACCUUUUGUAUAAUGGGUCAACGACUUACAUUCAGUAGCGAGCUUAACCGGAUAGGGGAGGCGUAGGGAAACCGAGUCUUAAUAGGGCGAAGAGUUGCUGGGUGUAGACCCGAAACCGAGUGAUCUAUCCAUGGCCAGGUUGAAGGUGCCGUAACAGGUACUGGAGGACCGAACCCACGCAUGUUGCAAAAUGCGGGGAUGAGCUGUGGAUAGGGGUGAAAGGCUAAACAAACUCGGAGAUAGCUGGUUCUCCCCGAAAACUAUUUAGGUAGUGCCUCGAGCAAGACACUGAUGGGGGUAAAGCACUGUUAUGGCUAGGGGGUUAUUGCAACUUACCAACCCAUGGCAAACUAAGAAUACCAUCAAGUGGUUCCUCGGGAGACAGACAGCGGGUGCUAACGUCCGUUGUCAAGAGGGAAACAACCCAGACCGCCAGCUAAGGUCCCAAAUGAUAGAUUAAGUGGUAAACGAAGUGGGAAGGCCCAGACAGCCAGGAUGUUGGCUUAGAAGCAGCCAUCAUUUAAAGAAAGCGUAAUAGCUCACUGGUCGAGUCUUCCUGCGCGGAAGAUGUAACGGGGCUCAAAUCUGUAACCGAAGCUGCGGAUGCACUUUUAGUGCAUGGUAGGGGAGCGUUCUGUAGGCCUGAGAAGGUGUAUCGUAAGGUAUGCUGGAGGUAUCAGAAGUGCGAAUGUUGACAUGAGUAGCGAUAAAGCGGGUGAAAAGCCCGCUCGCCGAAAGCCCAAGGUUUCCUACGCAACGUUCAUCGGCGUAGGGUGAGUCGGCCCCUAAGGCGAGGCAGAAAUGCGUAGUCGAUGGGAAACAGGUUAAUAUUCCUGUACUUGAUUCAAAUGCGAUGUGGGGACGGAGAAGGUUAGGUUAGCAAGCUGUUGGAAUAGCUUGUUUAAGCCGGUAGGUGGAAGACUUAGGCAAAUCCGGGUCUUCUUAACACCGAGAAGUGAUGACGAGUGUCUACGGACAUGAAGUAACCGAUACCACGCUUCCAGGAAAAGCCACUAAGCUUCAGUUUGAAUUGAACCGUACCGCAAACCGACACAGGUGGGCAGGAUGAGAAUUCUAAGGCGCUUGAGAGAACUCGGGAGAAGGAACUCGGCAAAUUGAUACCGUAACUUCGGGAGAAGGUAUGCCCUCUAAUGUAAAGGACUUGCUCCGGAAGCAUCUGAGGGUCGCAGAGAAUCGGUGGCUGCGACUGUUUAUUAAAAACACAGCACUCUGCAAACACGAAAGUGGACGUAUAGGGUGUGACGCCUGCCCGGUGCUGGAAGGUUAAUUGAAGAUGUGAGAGCAUCGGAUCGAAGCCCCAGUAAACGGCGGCCGUAACUAUAACGGUCCUAAGGUAGCGAAAUUCCUUGUCGGGUAAGUUCCGACCCGCACGAAUGGCGUAACGAUGGCCACACUGUCUCCUCCCGAGACUCAGCGAAGUUG